GGGAGGGAGAACCGGGAACAGCAACUGUCCCAGCGGAUGGGAAGGCAAUGUGGUAGAAAUUAUUAGAAGAAAAUGUUGAAAAAAAAGACAGGAAAGGCGGGAGAAAACGGAAUAAGGUGUUUACAUCACAAGUGAAGUAGAGAGAUAAGUGCUGUUUUCCUAUGAAAUACAGGUUACCCACAAAAUUACCUACAGAUCGCUCCCAAAUGUUUAAUAUUUUAUACACUGAAAGAACUCUGACCUGUUUGAAACCACAUACAAUCAGGAAUUAGUUGAGAAAGGAAGUCCUGGACCUGAGAGCAUUUGGCUGUUGAGUUUCCUCAGUCUUCUUUAAUCUGGAAGCUUUCUUCAAUCUUUGCUUGCCUGUCAUGACCUUGGCAUUUUGUCAAGGAGAUUGAGUAUCAUAAAUGUGAAGGUGUUCACCUGAGACAGAUCAGCCAACUGGAACUUCAACACAGGAUUUCAACCCAGGCUGUCCAGGCUUUUCCUGUCAUGUCAUACUGCCUUUUAAAACAGACAGUUGUUUGCAUUUGACAAAAAACUUCAUGAGGAACUGACAUGCCAGCACAGAUGAAGUGGGACAUAAACACCAUGCACAGAGGUACACAUCCAAUCCAAGAAGAGGAUGCAGACCAGACAAGGUCAGAAACAUUCCCCUUUGCCACAGAGCUAAGAAUGCAUCAGUCCCCUAGAGAGCAAAGAUUUAAAAAGUUAAUGCCAGACCCAUAAUGCGUAUUAUUUGUAUUUACAUGUAUACAUUAUUGUAUUUUAUUUGUAACAUGUCCAUGUGCUGCUAUCAUUCGGGUUUAUACAUUGAGUUAUUCUCAACAUUUCCUUUCGUUGUCUUUGUAUUGUCUUGAUGUAUUAUAAGGCCUUUAAUUUAAUUAAACCAGACGAACACAACUGACAAUUACAGCCAGGAAUUUGGAACCAGACAAAAGCAGAACGAUACCUUAAUAAGGCUAAUUCUUGACUAUGCUAGAAGUUACAAAUUCACUCAAAUUUUGAGCGCAUUUUAGAGCAAGGCAUUGUGGAAGAUACAAAAAUCAAUCAACUAUGGGUUCUGCCAUCAAAGACCUAGCAAUCUAGGAUGGGAGAUACAACACAUUUAGUAAAAAAGUUGUAAAAGAAUAUGUUGUGUCAUAUAUGAGACAGAGAUAAAAAGUGGCUAGAAAAGCGAGUUUCAGUUAUUACGGUUGCUAACAAGUUAUCCCAAGCCUCAGCAGUGUUAAAUACCUAUUUAUUAUUCUGUGGUUCAGGAAUUAGGACAGGGCACAGCAGGGACAGUUUGUCUCUGCUUCGUGAUGUCUGGGGCCUCAGCUGAUGACCUGAAUCUUGGGGGCUGGAAUCAUCUGAAGGCUCAUUUGUUUUCUUGUCUGGGAGCUGAUGCUGUAUAGACUCAAAGGACUGGUGAGCUGGAAUAGCUGGGGCUCCUCAGGCGUCCCUAUGUUUUGUGGUCUCUCCACCUGGUCUCUCCCUCAUGGCCUGUGUCUUGAGAGAGCAGCAGGUAGAAGCUGUACGGCCUUUUUGAACCCAGCUUUACUUCAAAUUCAUUUCUGCCACGUUCUGUUUGUUAGAAUCAAUUGACUAAGGCUGUCCCAUAUUUAAAGGGAAGGGAAUUAGACUCCACCUUUUGUAGGAGUAGUGUCAAAGAAUUUGUGGGCAUGUUUUAAAAUCAUCACACUGGGUGAAAAUCAGGAAAUUGAAUGGAUAUUGAAAAAUGAAUUUAAUAUGAAUGAGUAGAGGUAAGACAAAUGGAAGUCAACACAGGGAUCUACAUCAGCAGCAGGUAAACAACGCAUGAGCCGAACAGACUGGUUAGGCUAGGCAUUGGGAGUGUAGGAAAUAAGGCUGAAAACAUAGAUGGGGAUGAAGAUGUGCCAAGCUAAGGAGCAUGGAUUUGACUCAGCUGGGAACAGAACGCUAUUCAGUAGUGGUUUUCAACCUUGGUUGCCAUUGGAAUCAUCUGAGGAGCCUUAAAAUAACCAAUGCCUGGGUUCCACCCCCAGAGAUUCUAAUCUAGUUGUUCUGGAAUGGAGCCUAAGCAUCAGGACUUUUGAAAGCUUCCCAGGUGAUUCUUAUGUCAGCCAAGGUUGAGAACCAGUGCUCUGAAGGAUUUUGAGGAGAGAAGUGAUGUUAUCAGGAAUCAGUUUGCAUUCUUUCUCUGGGAAACCAAUGUCUUACUUAUUUUAACAUGGACUUUCAAAAGUUGAAGUUGACUUAUAUUUAUUCUUGGUUAAAUUCAAUCUAUCAAACUCUAUUGGACACAUACUAUAUGUCAGGUGUGGUUGGGCACAAAGAUGGAUAAGGACACCUCUUCUGCCUUGAUGGAGCUCCUGGGUGAGAGCGAGAUCAGUCACCUUCACCAAUCUCUGUGAUGCAAUAGGGUUUUGCUUUUCCCGGAUGUCUUCUGGAACUCCAUCCCUACCUGAGGCUUCCACGCUGGAUUACAGGCAUUCCUAGGCUCUCUCUUAACCACCACUCAUAGCUUGCAUCACUGUUUUAAUUGUUUGCUUUCUAUAUCCCCUCUGGAUAUGACUCUUCUAUGUCAAAAUUAUUCAUUGUAGAAUUCCCUAGCCCAAUGCCUGGCAUGAAAUAUUAAAUAAAAUAAUGAAUGUUUGGGAUAAACUAAUGUGACAUGAAUGUAGGGGACACGGUAGUCUGAGCCAGGUUGCAGAGGGCCUUAAGUGUGCUUCUAAAUGAGGUUACAGAUAUUAUCACGUGCUGGGCAGCAGGGAUCCAGUGACGACUUUGAGUGGUAAAAGGACGUGGUGCCUCUGGUGGCAAGUGGGGUGUGGACUGGAAUGGGGAAUGGCUGGCAGCUGGAAGACAUGGCCCUGAUCUCCCUCUCUGAGGGGAACUGAUGCAGUCAGUGUAUAGAGAUAGGAGUGUACUAGCCUGCAGCCUGGUUAUGGGCUGGGGGCGGGGGGAGGAGGGGACACAUUCUGAAUAAUAACAUCCUAUGGGAUUUCUAAGUUUGUGACCAAGCUGGCAUCUGCAUCUAGGUUACUGGGUUCUAGAACAUGGAGUGGAGGCAUAGGAAGGCCAAGAAUAGGAGGUCGGGAAGUGAGGACGUGAAAGAAUUCCCUGUGCUGAGCAGCAUGCAGCCACCAUGAAUAUUUACUGGAGGCAGCUUGCCUGUUAAGGGUAGUGACAGACUGGUGGGUAGAGAGAAGAGGGAGAAAUCAAAAAAGACUUUGGUUUGGGUAACCUGGUGAGUGCUGAUGCUUUAGCAGGUUAGGGAGAGGAGGAGGAGAGGAGAAGGAGCAGCAGCAGCUUGCUAGGGCUGCAAUCAGAUUGGACAACGAGGGAGGGAGGAAUAGGUGGCAGAUACUUCAUGGAUUUUCUUGAGUCCCAGUUGGGGAACUUAGACAAAAAAUCAAGAUUUUUCAUUGUGUUUUAAAUUUAAUCUGUGAGAAUCACUUUAUUUUACUCAUAAAAGCUUUUUUAUGAACAGCAAUGCCUUAGCUGUGUUCCUAGUUCUAAGAGAGCCUCUUCAAACUUUUUACACAAGUCUAGUUAAUUAGGGUCAGAUCAAGGAGGUCUGAGUCGAUGGGUUAAGCGUCUUCAGGUUGGUGAGUAAGAUCAGCCUCCUAGGGCAAAUGGUUUAAAUAUUUAAGCAAAUUUUUUUUCUA